rnacentral:rRNA from 1 species
UACAGGAGGGUGCGAGCGUUGUCCGGAAUCACUGGGCGUAAAGGGCGCGUAGGCGGUCUUGUAAGAUCGGGGGUGAAAUGCUGCGGCUCAACCGCAGCGCUGCCUUCGAGACUGCAAGACUGGAGCACGGUAGAGGCGGAUGGAAUCCCGGUGUAGCGGUGGAAUGCGUAGAGAUCGGGAAGAACACCAAUGGCGAAGGCAGUCCGC